UACGGAGGGUGCAAGCGUUAUCCGGAUUCACUGGGUUUAAAGGGUGCGUAGGUGGGCAGUUAAGUCAGUGGUGAAAUCUCCGGGCUUAACCCGGAAACUGCCAUUGAUACUAUCUGUCUUGAAUAUCCUGGAGGUGAACGGAAUAUGUCAUGUAGCGGUGAAAUGCUUAGAUAUGACAUAGAACACCAAUUGCGAAGGCAGUUCACUACGGGAUUAUUGACACUGAGGCACGAAAGCGUGGGGAUCAAACAGG
rnacentral:rRNA from 1 species